GAUGAACGCUAGCGGCAGGCUUAAUACAUGCAAGGCGAAGGGGCAGCAAUGUCACUGUCGUACGGGUGCGUAACGCGUAUGCAACCUACCUAUCACUGGGGGAUAGCCCGGGGAAACCCGGAUUAAUACCGCAUAACACAGGGGCUCUUCAUGGAGAUAUUUGUUAAAGAUUUAUCGGUGGUAGAUGGGCAUGCGUUCGA
rnacentral:rRNA from 1 species